rnacentral:misc_RNA from 1 species
AACGCACAUUGCGCCCGCCAGUAUUCUGGCGGGCAUGCCUGUCCGAGCGUCGUUUUCAACCCUCGAGCCCUCUUUCCGGGCCCGGCGUUGGGGAUCGACCGCCGCGAAUCCCGCCGGCGGUCGGCCCCGAAAUCGAGUGGCGGCCUCGCCGUAGCCUCCUCUGCGUAGUAGCACACACCUCGCACUGGACGGUCGGCGCGGCCACGCCGUGAAACCCCCCACGACUGAAAAGGUUGACCUCGGAUCAGGUAGGACUACCCGCUGAACUUAA